UAAUACGAAGGGGGCUAGCGUUGUUCGGAAUCACUGGGCGUAAAGCGCGUGUAGGCGGAUCGUUAAGUCGGGGGUGAAAUCCUGAGGCUCAACCUCAGAACUGCCUUCGAUACUGGCGAUCUUGGAGUCCGGGAGAGGUGAGUGGAACUCCUAGUGUAGAGGUGAAAUUCGUAGAUAUUAGGAAGAACACCAGUGGCGAAGGCGGCUCACUGGCCCGGUACUGACGCUGAUAUGCGAAAGCGUGGGGAGCAAACAGG
rnacentral:rRNA from 1 species